rnacentral:rRNA from 1 species
AACGAACGCUGGCGGCAGGCCUAAGACAUGCAAGUCAAGGGGUCCAGCAAUGGACACCGGCGCACGGGUGCGUAACGCGUGGGAAUGUACCUCUAGGUGCGGAACAACACAGGGAAACUUGUGCUAAUACCGCAUAAUAUCUUCGGAUCAAAGAUUUAUCGCCUAGGGAUCAGCCCGCGUAAGAUUAGGUAGUUGGUAGGGUAAUGGCCUACCAAGCCUACGAUCUUUAGCUGGUCUGAGAGGAUGAUCAGCCACACUGGGACUGAGACACGGCCCAGACUCCUACGGGAGGCAGCAGUUAGGAAUAUUGGACAAUGGAGGAAACUCUGAUCCAGCCAUGCCGCGUGAGUGAAGAAGGCCUUCGGGUUGUAAACUCUUUAGUCGUGACGAUGAUGACGGUAGCGACAGAAAAGACUCCGGCUAACUUCGUGCCAGCAGCCGCGGUAAU